rnacentral:rRNA from 1 species
ACGGCCGUACCAUGCUGAAUAUACCGGUUCUCGUUAGAUCACCGAAGUGAAGCAUCAUUGGGCGCGGUCAGUACUUGACCACCUGGGAACACCGCGUGCCGUU